CAGUGACAUGUAUGUGGCAGUGCAGGAAGUGUGUUGCAAAGGAAAGAGUUGUAGGAUGACACUAUACAUAUCAGAAGAACCUGUGUCAUCAAGUUUCUGUGGACCUACUUGAAAUGAAGACCCUGAAAAAGUAGUGAAGGCAUAUUUGGAUUCAGACAUUGAGUCACAAAGUUCCAGGGAGCAAACUGUAAUGGGAGUAGAUGUCAUACUGAAGGAGGGAGCGCUGCCUGACGAUGGCCCACAGGACAUUGGUGUCCAUAUUGAAGGUGGACUUAUUAUUUGGACUGAUACACUGUUUGAACCUGACCUACCCACCAGAGCUCACGUGCACUUUUGAAUUCUUGCAGAAGAUCUUUCUAAAUGGACAGAGGUUGUCAUCCAAGGCACAG